AGGUCAUUUCAAAGAGGGCUUAUGGGACAAAGACCAGAAGCUCUUCACAACACUGUGAAUCAACUUUUAGAAUGUAAUAGUCACUCAACAGUGCCAUGUUUUCCUGAAAAGAUACAGCA
rnacentral:snoRNA from 1 species